rfam:Virgibacillus soli strain PL205 scaffold000030, whole genome shotgun sequence.
UUAAUAUUUUCGCUUAAUCUUUUGUUAAGAGCGGGGGACCCAAUUUUUAUGGCGGCAUGUCCGCGUGGGGUGAAUCCUAUCAACGGAUGGGCUGAUUGUUUCCCAUAGUCCUAACCCGAAAGCUAACCUCGUCAGCGUUUAAGGAAACAAAU